rnacentral:rRNA from 1 species
GACGAACGCUGGCGGCAGGCCUAACACAUGCAAGUCGAACGCCCUAGCAAUAGGGAGUGGCAGACGGGUGAGUAACACGUGGGAACGUGCCCUUCGGUUCGGAAUAACUCAGGGAAACUUGAGCUAAUACCGGAUAAGUGCGAGAGCAGAAAGAUUUAUCGCCGAAGUAUCGGCCCGCGUCCGAUUAGCUAGUUGGUGAGGUAAUGGCUCACCAAGGCGACGAUCGGUCGCUGGUCUGAGAGGAUGACCAGCCACACUGGGACUGAGACACGGCCCGGACGCCUACGGGAGGCAGCAGUGGGGAAGAUUGGACAAUGGGCGCAAGCCUGAUCCAGCCAUGCCGCGUGAGUGAUGAAGGCCCUAGGGUUGUAAAGCUCUUGCGCCAGGGACGAUAAUGACGGUACCUGGAUAAGAAGCCCCGGCUAACUGCGUGCCAGCCGCCGCCGUAA